AUUUAAGUAGCUCAGAGGUAGAGCAGUUGACUGUUAAUCAAUUGGUCAUGGGUUCAAUUCCCAUCUUAAACU
rnacentral:tRNA from 1 species